rnacentral:rRNA from 1 species
UACGAGGGGGGCGAGCGUUGUUCGGAAUUAUUGGGCGUAAAGGGCGCGUAGGUGGCCUGCUAAGCGUGCGGUGAAAGUCGGGGGCUCAACCCCCGAUCGGCCGUGCGAACUGGGAGGCUUGAGCACUGUAGAGGCAGGCGGAAUUCCGGGUGUAGCGGUGGAAUGCGUAGAUAUCAGGAGGAACACCAAUGGCGAAGGCAGCUCGCUGGGACGUGACUGACGCUGAGGCGCGAAAGCUAGGGGAGCAAACAGG